AGAGACAGCAGUAGCCGCGGUAAUACGUAGGUCCCGAGCGUUGUCCGGAUUUAUUGGGCGUAAAGCGAGCGCAGGCGGUUAGAAAAGUCUGAAGUGAAAGGCAGUGGCUCAACCAUUGUAGGCUUUGGAAACUGUUUAACUUGAGUGCAGAAGGGGAGAGUGGAAUUCCAUGUGUAGCGGUGAAAUGCGUAGAUAUAUGGAGGAACACCGGUGGCGAAAGCGGCUCUCUGGUCUGUAACUGACGCUGAGGCUCGAAAGCGUGGGGAGCAAACAGGAUUAGAUACCCCUGUAGUCCCUGUCUCUUAUACA
rnacentral:rRNA from 1 species